rnacentral:rRNA from 1 species
UCAGGAUGAACGCUAGCGGCAGGCUUAACACAUGCAAGUCGAGGGGCAGCGGGAUGUAGCAAUACAUUGCCGGCGACCGGCGGAUGGGUGCGUAACGCGUAUGCAACCUACCUUAUACAGGGGAAUAACCUUUCGAAAGGGAGACUAACACCCCAUAGUAUUGAUUUAAGGCAUCUUAGAUUAAUUAAAUAUUUAUAGGUAUAAGAUGGGCAUGCGUAUGAUUAGCUAGUUGGUAAGGUAACGGCUUACCAAGGCGACGAUCAUUAGGGGUUCUGAGAGGAAGGUCCCCCCACACUGGUACUGAGACACGGACCAGACUCCUACGGGAGGCAGCAGUGAGGAAUAUUGGUCAAUGGGCGCAAGCCUGAACCAGCCAUGCCGCGUGCAGGAAAGACGGCCUUAUGGGUUGUAAACUGCUUUUACAUAAGACUAACCGUAUAUUUGCGAAUAUACCUGAAUGUAUUAUGAGAAUAAGGAUCGGCUAACUCCGUGCCAGCAGCCGC